AUAAUUAUUUAGGUAGCAUCUUUGCCUCAUGCUUUUUAAUGCGAGUAGUCAUGGAGAAUGACGCCUGCUGACUCUUCUGAUGGCAUAACGCUUGAGAAAGGAUGUAGGGCUUGUAAGCAUAAGACACAUAGUCAUGCAUUGAUCUAUGAAGUAUCAUUUGGAUUUAUUUUUGGUAGUAGGAAAACACACCAUUUAUUAUCUGAUAGAUAGCUGUAUUCCUUCAAGCUGUCAAUUGAUGGUUGAUAUAGGCAUUGACGUCUAUAAAUAGG
rnacentral:lncRNA from 1 species